UACAGAGGUCUCAAGCGUUGUUCGGAUUCAUUGGGCGUAAAGGGUGCGUAGGCGGGUCUUUAAGUCAGGGGGGAAAUCCUGGAGCUCAACUCCAGAACUGCCUUUGAUACUGAAGAUCUUGAGUUCGGGAGAGGUGAGUGGAACUGCGAGUGUAGAGGUGAAAUUCGUAGAUAUUCGCAAGAACACCAGUGGCGAAGGUGGCUCACUGGCCCGAUACUGACGCUGAGGCACGAAAGCGUGGGGAGCAAACAGG
rnacentral:rRNA from 1 species